rnacentral:rRNA from 1 species
AGUGAACGCUGGCGGCAGGCCUAACACAUGCAAGUCGAACGACCCUUUAGGGGGUAGUGGCGGACGGGGGAGUCACGCGGGGGAACGUGCCGUUAGGUUCGGGAUAAUUCAGGGAAACUUGUGCUAAUACCGAAAGUGCCCUUCGGGGGACAGAUUUAUCUUCUUUAGAGAGGCCGGCGUCUGAUUAGCUAGUUGGUUUUGGGUAGGGCUAACCAAGGCGACCAUCAGUAGCUGGUCUGAGAGGAUGAUCAGCCACAUUGGGACUGAGACACGGACCAAACUCCUACGGGAGGCAGCAGUGGGGAAUCCUGCGCAAUGGGCGAAAGCCUGACGCAGCCAUGCCGCGUGAAUGAUGAAGGUCUUAGGAUUGUAAAAUUCUUUCACCGGGGACGAUAAUGACGGUACCCGGAGAAGAAGCCCCGGCUAACUUCGUG